rnacentral:rRNA from 1 species
UGGGGGAUAUUGCACAAUGGGGGAAACCCUGAUGCAGCGAUGCCGCGUGAGGGAAGAAGGUUUUCGGAUUGUAAACCUCUGUGGACAGAGACGAUAAUGACGGUAUCUGUCAAGGAAGCCACGGCUAACUACGUGCCAGCAGCCGCGGUAAUACGUAGGUGGCAAGCGUUGUCCGGAAUUACUGGGUGUAAAGGGAGUGUAGGCGGGAAGGCAAGUCAGAAGUGAAAAUUAUGGGCUCAACCCAUAACUUGCUUUUGAAACUGUUUUUCUUGAGUGAAGUAGAGGCAAGCGGAAUUCCUAGUGUAGCGGUGAAAUGCGUAGAUAUUAGGAGGAACACCAGUGGCGAAGGCGGCUUGCUGGGCUUUUACUGACGCUGAGGCUCGAAAGCGUGGGGAGCAAACAGG